AACAGAUGAUGGCACACUUUUUCCCUCUUCGAUUAAAAAACAAUAUAUGUGAUUCCUCGGCGGGGAUCAAAACAACAUAGCACAAACAAAAAAACUCUGGCGAUUCAUGUAACCUCACCACUGAAUUCAAUACAAAUACGGUUUCACUCCUUGUCUGACAAGUCGUAAAACAAAAGCCCUGAGCAAACCAGACGUCUUAAGUUAUAUUCAGGACACGUAUCAACAUUGACAAACUAGCAAAGAUGAACAAAUCACUUGAAUGACAUGCUAUUACAAUAUUCUAGGACUCUAUCCCAGCUUCUAGGACUCUAGCCCAGACCAAAGGCCUUAUUCUACAAACAAAUUCAAUAGUUUCAUAUGGCGUAUAUUCAGUGAUUAUUGAGCUCUUAAUCACUAAUACAGGUCCUCACUUCGUCAAGCUCUUAAUGACACAACUUCAUUACUCAGCAAAUAUCAUGUAUUUUUCUGGUAAAAAUAGAAAAUAAAGGGAAAGUUAAAAAGGCAUUUUAGUAAAAUAAAGGUAAAGUAUUUAAGAUUUAGCAGAAAGCUAAAGCAAACAUAAAAGUCUUCAAUCUUGUUUUAAAGGUGCUCAGAGUUGGGGCAAGUCUUAAAUCCUCAGGGAGUUUAUUCCAGCUAUUUGUUGUAUAGUAACUAAAUCCUGCUUUCCCAUGUUUCGUGUUUACUCUGGGGAUAAUUAACAGAUUGGUCUCAGAAGAUCUUAGUGUUCUAGAAGGCUUAUGUAGUGGAAGCAUAUCAGUUAAAUAUUUUGGGCCUAAACCAUGUAGGGAUUUAUAGGUUAGGAACAUGAUUUUAAAAUCAAUUCUCUGACCUACAGGAAGCCAAUGUAACGAUUUAAGAAUUGGUGUAAUAUGUUCAAAUUUUUUGGUCUUUGUUAAAACUCUAGCAGCAGCAUUCUGAACAAGCUGAAGCUUCCUUAGAGUUUGUUUUGGGAGACCUGUAAGGAGACCAUUGCAGUAAUCAAGCUUACUAGUGAUAAAGGCAUGUACAAGUUUUUGUAAGUCUUCGCUUAGUCUCGCAAAGCCAGACCAAACUACAGCAAGUAGAAUGGUCUGGAACCACGCUACCUCGAGCCGUCUAUCCGUGGGGAAACUGGGCGGGGCCCUGUUUUUAUUUCUUUAAACCAAUCACAAUCGUCUAGGGCGGGGCUAAGCCCGGGAAGCAGCAGCGGUGUCCAUGCAAAAUAGUGCCGGGGGGAAAUGCCAGCAACCGGAAGGGGAGGAGUAGCGGUGAAAUCCGACGCUAGGCAAUAGACGCUGUUCACUUCCGUUCAGCCAGA